rnacentral:rRNA from 1 species
AUUGAACGCUGGCGGCAUGCUUUACACAUGCAAGUCGAACGGCAGCACGGGCUUCGGCCUGGUGGCGAGUGGCGAACGGGUGAGUAAUAUAUCGGAACGUACCCAGAAGUGGGGGAUAACGUAGCGAAUGUUACGCUAAUACCGCAUACGAUCUAUGGAUGAAAGCAGGGGACCGCAAGGCCUUGUGCUCCUGGAGCGGCCGAUAUCUGAUUAGCUAGUUGGUGAGGUAAAGGCUCACCAAGGCGACGAUCAGUAGCUGGUCUGAGAGGACGACCAGCCACACUGGAACUGAGACACGGUCCAGACUCCUACGGGAGGCAGCAGUGGGGAAUUUUGGACAAUGGGCGCAAGCCUGAUCCAGCAAUGCCGCGUGAGUGAAGAAGGCCUUCGGGUUGUAAAGCUCUUUUGUCAGGGAAGAAACGGUAGAGGCUAAUAUCCUUUGCUAAUGACGGUACCUGAAGAAUAAGCACCGGCUAACUACGUG